AUCAACGCUGGCGGCGUGCCUAACACAUGCAAGUCGAACGCGAAAGCCCGCAAGGGUAAGUAGAGUGGCGCACGGGUGAGUAACACGUGGAUAACCUGCCUUCGAGUGGGGAAUAACCUUCCGAAAGGAGGGCUAAUACCGCAUAACACCUCGGGACACAAGUUCUGGGGUUGAAAAGAGCAAUUUGCUCGAAGAGGGGUCCGCGCCUGAUUAGCUAGUUGGUGAGGUAACGGCUCACCAAGGCUUCGAUCAGUAGCCGUCCUGAGAGGGAGCACGGCCACACUGGAACUGAGACACGGUCCAGACUCCUACGGGAGGCAGCAGUGGGGAAUUUUUGGCAAUGGGCGAAAGCCUGACCAAGCAACGCCGCGUGGGUGAUGAAGUAUCUUGGUACGUAAAACCCUUUCGGCAGGGACGAACCUAAUGACGGUACCUGCGGAAGAAGCCCCGGCUAACUCCGU
rnacentral:rRNA from 1 species